rnacentral:lncRNA from 1 species
GCCGGGCACCGCUUGUUCAGGUCCGCCGCGCACCCCGUCGCCGCGCAGCCCCCGCCGCCGCCGCCCGUCCCGCCAUUUGCUUCGAUCGUCAUCGGCAGAUUGUACCCGUCUACCUGCCCCAGUAUAUUCUCUCUCAGCUUAUUAAUUACACUUUUAGGCAGGACUGCAGGCAGUCCUAAAUUAGUCACAAUUUCAAGUCUUUUUUUUUCUUUCUUUUUUCUUUUCUUUUUUGGGGCAUAACUCUAAAAUUUAAUUCAAAUCCACGUACAUCCGCAUCUUUCUUUUUCUUUUUUUUUUUUACAUUUUUUUUUUUCAUUUUUCAUUUUAGAGAAGAACAAUUAGACCGACCAGGCUGACGUCGUAGAAGUCCUGGGCGGCGGAGGAAGACGAUGCAGAAGAAGACAAUGUGAACUCGGCGAGCGUGGCCGGCGGGGCGGCGCCUGC